GCAAGCGUGAUGGUGAAUGAUUGCACUUCACAUGAGCUUGAGAGAGUGAAAAAAAAAGUGAUCGCCCUGGCCCUGCCGUCCAGCUCAAACCAGCCGGGGAUCUGUUGCUCAGCUGGGGUUAGGUUCAAACUAUCAGUACGUCCCAAGAAACACAACUUCACCCUAUUCUCACCUUGAUCCUUCCUUGUACAGUUGCCGCUCGUAUGACUCAAUUUCUGCGAUCGCCCAAUGUAACAGUAAGACAGACCGUGACUUUUCACUGCUCGUUGCUGCUAUUCCGAGAUUGUAGUCCCAAUGCAUCCAUUCUUUGCCGGACGUACUUCUGUGUAGCAACAUCUUUCUUAUUACUGAUUAGUCUUGCACAUUUACAGUAGUUGUAAAUGCUGAAAAUAUAAAGCUCCCAAAUAUGAUAUUCCAAAGACGCAAUGCAUUUGAAGAUCUGCAGCAAUAACAGUGAAUCUGAAAUGCAAAGUGAAAGGUUGAAAUCAAAGCAGUACUC